rnacentral:rRNA from 1 species
GGAUCAGUCAGUCUNUCUUAAAAGUUCGGGGCUUAACCCCGUGAUGGGAUGGAAACUGCUGAUCUAGAGUAUCGGAGAGGAAAGUGGAAUUCNUAGUGUAGCGGUGAAAUGCGUAGAUAUUAGGAAGAACACCAGUGGCGAAGGCGACUUUCUGGACGAAAACUGACGCUGAGGCGCGAAAGCCAGGGGAGCGAACGGGAUUAGAUACCCCGGUAGUCCUGGCCGUAAGCGAUGGGUACUAGGUGUAGGAGGUAUCGACCCCUUCUGUGCCGGAGUUAACGCAAUAAGUACCCCGCCUGGGGAGUACGACCGCAAGGUUGAAACUCAAAGGAAUUGACGGGGGCCCGCACAAGCGGUGGAGUAUGUGGUUUAAUUCGACGCAACGCGAAGAACCUUACCAGGUCUUGACAUUGAUGGACAGAACCAGAGAUGGUUCCUCUUCUUCGGAAGCCAGAAAACAGGUGGUGCACGGUUGUCGUCAGCUCGUGUCGUGAGAUGUUGGGUUAAGUCCCGCAACGAGCGCAACCCCUAUCUUAUGUUGCCAGCACGUAAUGGUGGGAACUCAUGAGAGACUGCCGCAGACAAUGCGGAGGAAGGCGGGGAUGACGUCAAAUCAUCAUGCCCCUUAUGACCUGGGCUACACACGUACUACAAUGGGAGUUAAUAGACGGAAGCGAGAUCGCGAGAUGGAGCAAACCCGAGAAACACUCUCUCAGUUCGGAUCGUAGGCUGCAACUCGCCUACGUGAAGUCGGAAUCGCUAGUAAUCGCAGGUCAGCAUACUGCGGUGAAUACGUUCCCGGGCCUUGUACACACCGCCCGUCACACCACGAAAGUCGGAAGUGCCCAAAGCCGGUGGGGUAACCUUCGGGAG